rnacentral:rRNA from 1 species
GACGAACGCUGGCGGCGUGCUUAACACAUGCAAGUCGAACGGAAAGGCCCUGCUUUUGUGGGGUGCUCGAGUGGCGAACGGGUGAGUAACACGUGAGUAACCUGCCCUUGACUUUGGGAUAACUUCAGGAAACUGGGGCUAAUACCGGAUAGGAGCUCCUGCUGCAUGGUGGGGGUUGGAAAGUUUCGGCGGUUGGGGAUGGACUCGCGGCUUAUCAGCUUGUUGGUGGGGUAGUGGCUUACCAAGGCUUUGACGGGUAGCCGGCCUGAGAGGGUGACCGGCCACAUUGGGACUGAGAUACGGCCCAGACGCCGACGGGAGGCAGCAGUGGGGAAUAUUGAACAAGGGGCGGAAGCCGGAUGCAGCAACGCCGCGUGCGGGAUGACGGCCUUCGGGUUGUAAACCGCUUUCGCCUGUGACGAAGCGUGAGUGACGGUAAUGGGUAAAGAAGCACCGGCUAACUACGUGC